rnacentral:misc_RNA from 1 species
GAUGAAGAACGUAGCGAAAUGCGAUAAGUAAUGUGAAUUGCAGAAUCCAGUGAAUCAUCGAAUCUUUGAACGCACAUUGCGCCCGGUAGUAUUCUGCCGGGCAUGCCUGUUCGAGCGUCAUUUCAACCAUCAAGCCCCAGCGCUUGUGUUGGGGGCCUGCGGCUGCCGCAGCCCCCUAAAAGCAGUGGCGGGCUCGCUAUCACACCGAGUGCAGUAGUUCAUCUUCUCUCCGGUCUUGUGAGGCGGGUUCCGGCCGUGAAACACCCCACUACAUUCAAGGUUGACCUCGGAUCAGGUAGGAAUACCCGCUGAACUUAAGCAUAUCAAUAAGCGGAGGA